UGCAGUUGGUACGUACGUGCUUUAAUGUGUCUCUACUACUAUCCGAGGUAAUCCUUCUCUUGUUUGAGUAAUCUUACUAAUCUUGCAUCCUUAUUUUACUCUCUUAAGACUGACACUUCGCCAUGAGAGCCAAGUGGAGAAAGAAGCGCAUGCGCAGGCUGAAGCGCAAAAGGAGAAAGAUGAGGCAGAGGUCCAAGUAAGCUGUCUUCUGGGGUUCGUGGCUGUGAUGUUAGUCAGUACCCGGUGAGAAGAGAGUGCAGCCAGGACGGCCUUCAUGUUGGACUCCUUCCAUCAGCAUGUCCGCACGAGGCACGAGCUGCUCACCAAUGUCUGCAGGUCGGAGGACUGUUUUUUGGUGAUAUUCUGGACUCUGGUUGUUCCUUUUUGACUGUUCUUUUCAAUGUUCAAACUUUUUUUAUGCUUUGAUUAAAGGUUUGGGUGUUUUUAAAACAAUA